CAAGGAAUGUCACAAACUAUGCCACUUUUGAUAUAUCCAGACUAAAAUAAUUUCCUUUAUCUGUAAAUACCAAGUUUUUAGGUACUGUAUGUAAAUUUCAUCAAGUGAUUAACAUAAAUGUGAGAUUUUUAAACCAAAAUUUUCGGCAGAGUUUCCUCUGUUUCAUUAGCACUUUAACCUGUAAUACAUAUGAAAAUCACACUUAUAAUUACACUAACAACUGUCAUUUGAUAUCUUACUAGUCCUUGAUUUACAUAAUCUUUACAACUCACUCUAUUAAAUAUGUACAUGCCAAAAUAUAACUGUACUAUGACUCAGAGACUCAAAACUACAAGCUAUGAUAAUGGCCUUGAUAUCUGAUGUAGACCUCUGAUGAACUCCGCGUAUCUACUUUAUCUACAACCUGCGUGAGGUAAUAACCAACACGCUGAGCUAAUGCUCAGUGGGUGAUAACAACAAAUAACAGAAUAAAACAAACAAGCUCGCAUAAAUAGAUAAUCAAGUAAACAAUUUCAAACUCGUAGAUGCAAACAUGUUAACAUUCACCAAUAAGUUCACAAAAUUAAGUAUCAAUCUUAAUUAAUAUCUUAGCCCUUAUAAACACAUAGUAGGAUCGACUAGGUAGAUAAGGAGUUAUAACGGUAGGCACAGGGUGCCGAACGGUAGGCUCAGAGGCCAAAACUAUGAUAGCAGAGCUCUGUGGCCAUGCUUAUGAGGUACCAGAUAUGUAACCUCAAAUAUAGAUCAUGUAUCGGUAGCAGUACUGCGAACUCUGUCUGUUUAUAUGGCAUGCCAUACCCUUAAGCUAACCUCGACUCCUAUUACGUUUACCAGGGCCAAGUAUCAUUAAUUCAAUGUAUCAAUAUAAAUGCAUGUCACUUGAAGCUAUUUGAAUUCAUUUUUCCAAAGUACAUAUAUCAUAUGCCAAGGUUUACAAUAUGGAAAACUCAUGGCAAAUAGUGCAAACCUUUAUUGACUCAGCAUUUCAAUAUAGAAAACUACAUUCUGCCAUAUAUUGCCUAAACUUUUCAAGCAGUUUAGAGUUAUAAUUUGACUUCAGUUUCUUCAUAAGAAAUGUACAUUUAUGUCUUAUCUUUCCAACAAGGUAUGGUUCAUGCAAUUCUGAUCAUCCUAGCUUAAGUUAUGAAUUUUAAUUUACAAGCUGCUUAAUCAAGUCUUAAUCAGUCCAAUAUUGGUACCUGUUUAUAGUAUCAAAAAACAUAUAAGAUUCAUGUAUUUUCAUACAAAUUUAAGCUUAAGUGUCUUCUACAAAGUUUUAGGUAUACUUCUUAAGAUUCAAUUGGCACUGGUAUUAACAAAUUUCACUGAGUACAAAAUUAGUUAUGGUAUCAUCAAUAGACUCUAUUCCGGAUGCACUACCACUGUGUCCAGUUUAGGUUCACUUGCAAUUUUCAUCAUCUUACAUACAGAUUUCAAACUUGGUCAAUUCAUGAAAGUUUUAGCUCUUUGCCUUAGAUUUCAUUUGGUAUAUCUUAAGACUAAUGUCAAUAAAAACACAAUAAGUUAUGAACUUGUUAACACAAGCUGCCCUGUUAAAACCUAUUCUGCCAUAUUUGCACUUUAAGCUCUCAUGUUAAGUUUAUUUACUCUAAGCCUUUCAAACACCAUUUUAACAUACAUAUAACAUAUUUAUACAAUCAAAGCAACAUUUCCAGCAAGUAAAAUCAAUCUCCAACUUCAUAUGUCCAUGUGAAAAUUCAAGGAAAACAGAAAAUCAAAGAAACACCAAACCUUUCUUUAAUUCCUCUUUCCUUUUUCCACUUCUACUCUCUAGCUAUCUCCUUUCCCUUUGAUGUUCCUUCACCUAGGUCAAUUUAUAUCUUAGUGAAGGAUUUAAUAAACUAUAAAUUAAAGCUUUAUAAUUCAAAUUCAUGCAUGAAUAAAUGAAAAGAUGCCAUUUCCUACACACUUCUAAGCUCACCUUUGAUUUUCAAGGUUGAUGUAUAUGAAACCCUAAACUUUUCUUCUUCAAUUCCUUCAAUAUAUGGCUGUUCCUUUAGCUCUUAGUCUUAGGGUAAAUUUUGGUUAAAGGAAGAAGUUGAUUGAGUGAGAUUUGGCUUGGCUUUGGUGGAAGGAAGACAAAACAAAGCUUUGGUUUUUAAUGGAUGUGAGCUACGGCAAUGAAAUGGUGGAGAAGACAAUCCCUUUUUUUUUUUUAUUUGCUUGGUCCAUUCUUCUUUCCUUAGCUAGGUGACACAUGUUGGGUACAUUAAAUUCUAUCUUUUUAACUUUUCAUAUUUACACUUUAACCCACUAAACUCUUUACCAUGUUUCAAUUUAGUUUUCAAACUUUCAACAAUCAUAGAUUGACCUACCAAAAUAUGGUUUUAGCCUUUAGAAGUCCUUUUCACUUAAGCUAGCAUAACGGAUUUAAACAAGCACCUCCCGAAAGUGUCUCGUUCCCGACUCGCUCAUGACACUAGCUAAUUUAAUUCUGCAUACAUCCGUUUAUUUAUUUGAGUUUUCUAUGAUUCAGUUAUUAGCAGUUUAGAGUUAUGCUAGCACAUUCCCUAAGGCCACUUACUCUAGUAGUGAAAUAGCCUAGCCCUACCUAGUGAUGGCACUACUCUAGCAAUGGGUUUGAGGAUGUUACAACUCUUCCCCUCUUAAGAAAUUUCGACCUCGAAAUUUUACCUGCUUUGAAUAGCUGUGGAUAUUGUUGCCUCAUCACUUCUUCACUCUCCCAUGUAGCUUCUUCUGCCUUGUGAUUUCUCCACAACACUUUAACUAAGGGAAUUUUCUUGUUUCGUAAUUCUUUUAUUUCUCUUGCUAAAAUUUUCACUGGUUCUUCUUCAUAAGUUAGAUCAGGUUGUACAUCAAUGUUUUCAGCUGGAAUGACAUGUGAAGGAUCAGAUCUGUAUCUUCUUAACAUGGAUACAUGAAAGACAUUGUGUAUUUUAUCUAACUCUGGAGGUAAAGCUAGCCUAUGGGCUACUGGACCCACACGCUCAAUUACUUCAUAUGGACCAAUAAACCGAGGGCUUAGCUUACCUUUCUUGCCAAAUCUUAGCACUUUCUUCCACGGAGAAACUUUUAAAAAAACUUUGUCUCCAACAGCAAAUUCUAUAUCUUUUCUUCUCAAAUCUGCAUAGGAUUUUUGCCUAUCUAUUGCAGCUUUCAAUCUUUCUUUGAUAAUCUUCACCUUUUCCUCAGUCUGUCUUACCAACUCUGGACCUACAAGUUUAGCUUCACUAAGUUCUGUCCAGCAUAAUGGGGUUCUACAUUUUCUGCCAUACAAUGCUUCAUAAGGAGCCAUUUUAAUACUAGCCUGAUAACUAUUGUUGUAAGUAAAUUCCACUAGUGGGAGAUAUCUUUCCCAGCUUCCUUCAAAUUCAAUUACACAACUUCUGAGCAUAUCUUCCAAAACUUAAAUUACUCUUUCUGACUGGCCAUCUGUCUGAGGAUGAAAAGCUGUACUAAAAUUCAAUCUUGUCCCUAGAGCUUCAUGUAAUUUUUCCCAGAAUCUGGAUGUGAAUCUUGGAUCUCUGUCUGAUAUGAUAGAGAUAGGAACACCAUGCAGUCUCAUAAUUUCAUUAAUGUACAAUUCUGCAUACUUUUCUAAUGUAUAAUCCAUUCUGAUUGGCAAGAAAUGCGCUGAUUUAGUUAACUUGUCAACUAUUACCCAGAUGUCAUCUUUCUUCCUUGGUGUGAGUGGCAAUCCUGUUACAAAAUCCAUGGUAAUUCUAUCCCAUUUCCAUUCUGGUAUAGCGAUAAGCUGCAAUAACCCUGAUGGAACCUGAUGCUCUGCUUUUACUCGUUGACAUGUCAAACAUUUUGUUACAAAUUCAACUAUAUUUCUUUUCAUACCCGGCCACCAAUAAUGCGCCUUCAAAUCUUGAUACAUCUUACUGCUACCUGGAUGCAUAACAUAUGGACUGUUGUGUGCCUCUGUAAGAAUACUUUGUUUCAGCUCUCCAAUGUUAGGUACACAUAUUUUGUCACCAUAGUACAAGUAGCCAUCAUCACUUAUCACAUGCUUCUGCUUCUUUCCCUCUUGUACUUGUCUAGUCCAUGAAGCUAUCUCUGUAUCUUCUUUCUGUGCUUCUUUAAUUUGUUGUAGCAGGCUGGGUCUAACUUUCAAUUCUGCUAUGAUAGCUCCAUCAUUCGCUGUAGUCAACCGUGCAUUCAUCGCUCGUAAUGCAAAUAAGGAUUUCCUGCUAAGUGCAUCUGCUACCAGAUUAGCUUUGCCUAGGUGAUAAUCUAUAAUGCAAUCAUAAUCCUUUAGUAACUCCAGCCAUCUUCUCUGUCUCAAGUUUAGCUCCUUCUGCGUGGGUAAGUAUUUCAGACUUUUAUGAUCUGUAUAGAUGUAACAUUUCUCACCAUAUAAGUAAUGUCUCCAUAUCUUUAGUGCAAAAACUAUGGCCGCCAACUCUAGAUCAUGGGUAGGAUAGUUCUUCUCAUGUGGCUUCAAUUGUCUGGAAGCAUAGGCAAUCACUUUACCUUAUUGCAUCAAAACACAUCCAAGUCCAUUGUGAGAAGCAUCACUGUAUAUCACAAAUUCCUUGCCAGAAAUAGGUUGUGUAAGUAUUGGUGCUUCGGUGAGCAUAGUCUUCAAUUUGUCAAAGCUUGCCUGACAUCUAUCAUCCCAAACAUACUUAACAUUCUUAUGUAGUAAUUUAGUCAAUGGAGCUGCUAUAAGUGAAAACCAUUUCACAAACCGUCUGUAGUACUCAGCUAGACCCAAGAAACUCCUGAUCUCUGCAACAUUCUUUGGAGGCUUCCAUUCCAGUACAGCUUUAAUCUUCUGUGGAUCUACCCUGAUUCCCUCUGCUGAUACAACAUGUCCCAAAAAUGUUAUUUCAUUGAGCCAAAAAUCACAUUUACUGAACUUAGCAUAAAGUUGCUUUUCCCUUAGAGUCUGUAAUACUAUCCUCAAAUGUCUGUCAUGGUCUUCCCUAGUUUUAGAGUAUACCAGAAUAUCAUCAAUGAAUACUACAAGAAACUGGUCUAAAUAUGGACGGAAGAUACGGUUCAUCAGAUCCAUGAAUGAUGCAGGUGCAUUUGUUAGCCCGAAUGGCAUAACUAGGAACUCAUAAUGUCCAUAUCGUGUCCUGAAUGCAGUCUUAGGCACAUCUGCCCCUUUAACUCUCAACUGAUGGUAACCCGAUCUCAAAUCUAUCUUAGAGAAAAUGCUGGCCCCUUUCAACUGAUCAAACAAAUCAUCUAUUCUGGGCAGUGGAUAUCUAUUCUUUAUAGUUACCUUAUUCAAUUGUCUGUAAUCAAUGCACAAUCGAAGAGAUCCAUCUUUAUUUUUCACAAACAACACUGGUGCACCCCAUGGUGAAACACUAGGUCGAAUAAAGCCCUUAUCAAGUAAUUCUUGUAACUGUAUUUUCAACUCUUUCAAUUCUGUAGGAGCAUUUUGUAAGGAGCAAUUGAAAUAGGUGCAGUACCUGGCACAACUUCUAUAGCAAAAUCCACUUCCCUUUCUGGAGGUAACCUUGGCAACUCUUCAGGAAAUACAUCUGGAAAAUGACAUACUGUGGGUAGGUUUGACACACUAGGACCUUCCGUCUGAGUUUCAAUCACACUAGCCAGAUAGGUUGUACAGCCUUUUCUAAUCAACCUCCUAGCUGUAGUGGCAGAUAUGACAUUAGAGAGGUAAUCUGACCUCUCACCCACAACUAUAACCUCAGAAUCCUCUAAUGUUUUGAGUGUGACUCGCUUUAACUUACAAUCAACUAUGACAUGAUGUCUAGACAACCAAUCCAUGCCCAAAAUCACAUCAAACUCUCUAAAAGGUAACUCUAUCAGGUCACCUAAAAAGGUAUGACCUUGCACACAUAUAGGACAAUCUCUGUAAACUCUAUUCACAAUCACAAGAUGUCCUAAGGGAUUGGUCACUGCUAUGUCAUGCUCUAAAGGUUCUACUUCAAUUCCCUUCUCAUUAUUGAUGGGUAUGCUGAUGUAUGAAUGCGUGGAACUAGGAUGAAUUAAUGCAUAAACAUAUUUGCCAAAGAUAGAAAAUUUACCAGCUAUAACAUCUGGUUUGUCUUGGUCUUCCCUUGCACGAAUAACAUAUGCCCUGGCAGGUGCUCUAGUGUCUGGUCUAUCUACUGUCUCUGAUACUCUGUGACUCUGAGCACUGCUAGAUUCACCUCUACCUCUACCUCUGCCUCUAGACCCUGUCGGCAAAGAUCUCUCUGUCUGUAUAGGCUGCACUGACUGGCCUCUAGGACAAUCCCUCAUAAAGUGGUUUGAGCUUCCACAUAAGUAGCAAGCCCCAGUCAAUCUCCUACAUACUCCACCGUGUCUCCUGCCACAAUGCUCACAUACUGGUGGCAACCCUCUGCCUGGUCCUCCUGUACUGGAUACUGAGGUAGUCUACUGUCCAGACCUCACUACUGAACUCUGCCCAGGUCUCUGACUCUGCCUAGGUGGUCCUCUCUGCCCUGUCUGCUGAAAUUCCCUCUGUCUCUUACUACUUGUCUGAGAUGCAGAGGAUUGUCCCUGAUACUGGCUCUGGCUCCUCUUCUGCUGCCCUUUCUGCUUUCUACUUUGCUCUUCUUCUUUAAUUCGCUCUAGGCUGUGGGCCGUCUCUACUAAAACUGAGAGUUCCCUGAUAUGCAUAGCUGUGAGGUACAUCCUAAUAUCAGCAUGCAAUCCUUGCUCAAAGCGUUUACAUCUUUCUUCCUCUGUAGGAACUAUCUCUAUGGCAUAUUUACUAAGUCUAACAAAUUCUCGCUCAUACUCAGUUACUGUAAGCCUGCCCUGUCUGAGGUAUAAGAACUCCCUCCUUCUUUCCUCUGUGUAUAAGGCCCCAACAUAUUUCUUCUUAAACUCUGCCAAAAAGAAUUCCCAAGUUUGCCGCUCUGGUCGAAUCAUCUGUGUUAAUGUUGUCCACCAUCUAUAGGCUUAAUCUUUUAGCAAUGAUACUGAACACAUCAAGCUCUCUGCUGGUGAACACUGUAGCUGCUGUAGAACCCUUUCUGUACUUUCUAACCAUAAUUCUGCAGCUGAAGGAUCAUCUUCCUUUUUACCUCUAAAAUCUGUAGCACCAUACUUCCUGAGUUUUUCUAUUGGAGGCCUAGAUUGUGCUUGGGCUACAACAGGUGGGGGAACCUGGACUGCUACAGGUGGUGGUGGUACCUCUAGUACAUUUUGUGUAACCCUCCUAAGUAACUCAGCUAUUUGCUGAAACAAUGCAUCCUGCCCUGGUCCGCCAGCAACAGCAGGUGCAGGAGCAGCAGCAGGUGCAGGAGCAGCAGGAGCUGCAGCUGCCUCAGAGGGAGCAUGACUCUCUACCUCUUCAUCUGCUGCUCUCUGUGACUCAGAUGACAUCUUUUAUAUGACCUAAAGACACAAACAAGAGAUUUACAUCAGAACCAUAUCAUAGCUGUAACUCAUUUUGGCAUGUACAUAUAUGACACAUAUACACAUACAUACUAUGACCUAGAAUCGCCUAAACCUUUGCUCUGAUACCACUAAUUGUAACACCCCUUACCCUAUCAAAGAGUAGACAGAGCAAGGAAUGUCACAAACAAUGCCACUUUUGAUAUAUCCAGACUAAAAUAAUUUCCUUUAUCUGUAAAUACCAAGUUUUUAGGUACUGUAUGUAAAUUUCAUCAAGUGAUUAACAUAAAUGUGAGAUUUUUAAACCAAAAUUUUCGACAGAGUUUCCUCUGUUUCAUUAGCACUUUAACCUGUAAUACAUAUGAAAAUCACACUUAUAAUUACACUAACAACUGUCAUUUGAUAUCUUACUAGUCCUUGAUUUACAUAAUCUUUACAACUCACUCUAUUAAAUAUGUACAUGCCAAAAUAUAACUGUACUAUGACUCAGAGAC
rnacentral:lncRNA from 1 species